GACAGAGGUGCCGAGCGUUAGGCGGAAUCACUGGGCUUAAAGCGUGUGUAGGCGGGCGGGCAAGUACCUUGUGAAAUCCCACGGCUCAACCGUGGAACUGCUGGGUAUACUGCCUGUCUUGAGCCAGCUAGGGGCGAGCGGAACAGACGGUGGAGCGGUGAAAUGCGUAGAUAUCGACUGGAACGCCGAAGGUGAAAACAGCUCGCUGGGGCUGUGCUGACGCUGAGACACGAAAGCCAGGGGAGCGAACGGG
rnacentral:rRNA from 1 species